rnacentral:rRNA from 1 species
AUUGAACGCUGGCGGCAGGCCUAACACAUGCAAGUCGAGCGGAGCGGCGGACGGGUGAGUAAUGCCUAGGAAUCUGCCUGGUAGUGGGGGAUAACGUCCGGAAACGGGCGCUAAUACCGCAUACUAUCAGAUGUGCCCAGAUAGGAUUAGCUAGUAGGUGGGGUAACGGCUCACCUAGGCGACGAUCCCUAGCUGGUCUGAGAGGAUGACCAGCCACACUGGAACUGAGACACGGUCCAGACUCCUACGGGAGGCAGCAGUGGGGAAUAUUUCACAAUGGGCGCAAGCCUGAUUCAGCCAUGCCGCGUGUAUGAAGAAGGCCUUCGGGUUGUAAAGUACUUUCAGCGGGGAGGCGUUACCCGCAGAAGAAGCACCGGCUAACUCCGUGCCAGCAGCCGCGGUAAUUC